CCUGAUUUCGCGACUGACACUCAGGGACGAGAGCCAGGGGAGCGAAUGGGAUUAGAUACCCCAGUAGUCCUGGCCGUAAACGAUGGAUACCAAGCCCUGCGCGUAUCGACCUGGGCAGGGCUGUAGCUAACGCAUGAAGUAUCCCGCCUGGGGAGUACGCUCGCAAGAGUGAAACUCAAAGGAAUUGACGGGAGCCCGCACAAGCGGUGGAGCAUGUGGUUUAAUUCGAUGCAACGCGAAGAACCUUACCAGGGCUUGACAUGCCGCGAACCCCCCUGAGAGGGGGGGGUGCCUUCGGGAGCGCGGACACAGGUGGUGCAUGGCUGUCGUCAGCUCGUGUCGUAAGAUGUUGGGUUCAGUCCCGCAACGAGCGCAACCCCCGUCUCUAGUUGCCCACAAUUCGGCACCCUAGAGAGACCGCCGGUGUUAAGCCGGAGGAAGGUGGGGAUGAGGUCAAGUCAACAUGCCCCUUUUGCCCUGGGCGACACGCGUGCUACAAUGGCCGGGACAAAGAGAUGCGACCCCGCAAGGGCCAGCCUGACCUCGUAAACCCGGCCUCAGUUCGGAUUGUAGGCUGCAACCCGCCUACAUGAAGGAGGAAUCGCUAGUAAUCACCGGUCAGCCAUACGGUGGUGAAUCCGUUCCCGGGCUUUGCACACACCGCCCGUCACACUAUGGGAAUCGGCCAUGCCCCAAGUCGUUACCCCAACCCGUAGGGAGGGGGAUGCCAAAGGCA
rnacentral:rRNA from 1 species